AUGGCUACGGCUAGAGGUCGAGGAGGAGGCGAUGGCUACAUAAACGACAGCGGCACAACCUCGGUGACAUGGCGUGGAGUGCGGGCGAGAGGCGAGGAACGAGGGCGAGAUAGUAGCAGAUACACACGCAGCAGCCAGAAGACACCGGAAGUCCGCGAAACCCUAGAAUCGACGCGACGCGAGGUGAGGCGAGACGGCGCCGAAGACGAGAGAAAAGGAAAUCGUGAAGGAGGCGGAGAAAGGAAGAGGCAAUCAUGUUCCGGCGGGCUGUGGGUUCCCUCCUCGCACGGAGGCAAGGCACAGGUGUUGAUGGAUCAGCUAGAUUCCUCCUCGUCGUUAGCUCCAUUUCAUGUCAGGAACCACCACCUCAUACCUGUUCUGUCUUCUUGUGUAGUUGCUGCUGGCAAGCUGAACCACAAGGUCAAGUUUAAGAAGCCGGACAUGAAGGAGAGGUUUGAGCGUUGGAUCAUCGCGAAUGGAAAGACAUACCGAGAUGAGGAAGAGAAGGCUAUGCGGUUCGAAUUGUUCAAGGCCUCCCUCGAGAGUGUGGAAUCGCAGCUCCCUCUGGUCGAGGAGAGCGGUGUGCUUCCAGGGGUAAGCUGUUUUGCAGACUUCACAGACGAGGAGACACGGGAGCUGCUGGCCUUUCCCGACGGAAUUGACGAGACCGACUACGACGAGAUCAUCAAGUCUGCCUGGGCCAAGCAAGAGAAAGGGUGUCAAAUUGGACAACACACUCAUAACUAG
rnacentral:rRNA from 1 species